UCAGGGAAAAUGGCCCGAGCCCCAUAAAAUAUCACAAGAUCAUCAUCGGGAUAACAUCAUCGUAUCAUAAAUAUUCACAUCAUGUUCAUUGAUUAAAGUAAAGCAAUAGCAUGAAGCUAACCAUAGUAACCCAAAAGGUAAUCAAGGACAAGGUAAAUACAAAGCUAGUCAAUCCUUAGGUUUCAAUUAAGUAAUGUGGGAUAGUGAAUUAUAAGUAGAUAGGACAUAAUGGGUCAGAGGACACUUGCCUUCACCAAACAGAUGCUCUGGAUCUUCAACCUUGUAGAACUUGAAGAACCUGACCACUUGGACACCAACGCUUGGCUGUCGAUUUCCUCGAAGCUCGGAAACGAAUCGCGAUCUAUUCGCAACGCGUAGCAAAUACAAACAGGAACAAACAACCAAACAUAUAUAUACGCAUAAGAAAAUUACACCAUACAAGAUAAAAUGUAAUAAAACAUGUAAGAAGAAAAGGAACGUGUUACUACGGUGACGCGAGGAAAAAGAAACGCGACAAUCGAAGCUACGGUCGAGAAGUUAUCGCGUUUACGUUAAACAAAUAUUAACUAUAACAUUUAAUUCAACAUUAUCAAAUAUAAAUAAUAUCUACCAUUUAGUUUCGCUUAACCUAUUACACUAACCACUAUCAGUUAAACCAGUAAUUUAAUUAAAGCGAGAGAUUUUAAGCGAGAUGAUUUUAUGACGCAUGAAACAGCACGAUAUCGUGCAAACGACACACGGACACACGCGACAUAGCACGCUUACGACACACGAAACAGCACGUGCGACGAGCGCGAACGAGCACACCAUCACGUGCGGAACAGCAUGCGCGACAGGCGGGAACAUGUUAAAUAGAGGACAUGUUUACACUAAACAAAUAUUAAAUAAAUAAAAAGUAUUUAAGUUAACAUUAACCAUGGUAAUGUUUAUUAUCCAAGCACAAGUCGAAAAAUAUACAUAAUCAAAUUGGAAUAUUAAUCUAAUCAACAUUAGUCGAGCAAACAUUAAAUAAAUUAUUUAAAAUAUGUGACCCGACAGAUUAACGUUAUUAACAUGAGUGUUCGUAAGCGAAAACAAUUUAUUAUCACGCGCAGACGCCGCGCGACACACGUGGUCGACACGCGGCACUAUACAAAACAGCGCGUGGACGGCACGCGAAACAACGCGCACGACGGUGCGCGUCACGCAAACAGCACGCGACCCGCGAAAAUAGUUUAUACUACACAUAUAUUAAAUGCAACACUUAAGUUGGCAUAACCACAAUUAGAGGUAUUUAUCGCAUGCAUCGAUAGAAUUAACACUUAGUUCUGAUUGAUUUACUACUCGGUUAGCCAUCGUUUAAUUACGUAAAUUAAUUAACGUGAGUGAUUCUAGGCGAAACAGUUUAUUGUUGUGCGACACGGCGCACAACUCACUAAACAAGGUGCGCGGAACGGCACACGCGACAACGCGUGUCAACACAUGUGAAUGACACACACGGUGACGCGUAAACGAUGUCGCGCGCGAACAACGAACAAAUAAUUAAUGACGAGUAUUUCAGUUGGUAUUAAUCACGUUAAUUAACAUUUAUAUUUAUAAAGCAUGAGUUAAAACUACCGACUCAUUCUACUUAAGUUGUUAUUUUAUUAACCCUCGAACAAACCAAUAAUUAAUUAUUCAACUGAAACAUGCGACACGACGACGAGCGCCACACGUGGGAACAGCGUGCGUGUCACGUGCGAAAGAGCACACGGGAAGCGCGCAUGGCCACAUGUGACCAUGUGCAAAAGACGCGAGACGAUGCGUGCGAACAGCACACGACAACGUGCGUGCCAGACGCGCGGCACGAACGUGCGAACGAACAAUGGCGACGCGCAAACAGCGCGCGAUUGAUACGCGAAACUAAAUAAACAUUGCAUUUAUAUUAAAUGAACAUUAGGGCAAAACGUUUGAGUUACUAUUAUUGCCAUGGAUUUAUAAAGCGUAAGUUAACUACUAUAAAUUAGUCUAAUCAAAAGGUCUAAUUAAUUAACGUUAGUUAAACAAAAGUGUAAUUAAUUAUUUAAAACGUGUGAUAUAGUGAAACAAAAUUACUAAUGCGUCGACGAUGCUCACCCGCGAUGACGGUGGACGACCGGACGAGCUCGCGGCGAAGCACGAGGACGACGAUGCUGCUGCUGCACCAGGGUCGUGCAAAGACGAGUCAGGGCUACGCAGAGGGCUGCGCAGGAGGAAGCGGGGGCAGC
rnacentral:lncRNA from 1 species